GAAGAGAGAGAGAGAAAGAGAACAGCUGAUAUGUUCAGUUCAGUUUAACUUUAUAAACAAACUGUGAAUCACACGAAAGCUUGAAAGAGAGCAACAAAAUGAUAAAGGAUUGGAAACGUGACUGCGAGGCUUAGCAACACAGUAUACAUUAAACAGCUUGAGGAGGAGGAGAUAAGAUAAAUAUUGAUUAAACAUGGUAUAGUUGUAUUCCGUCCUUAACAAUGCAUGGAGUCUAUUUGAUCCCUUUCCUGCUAACCAAUGUUUUCGGCCUGGCACAUAGGAUAGGAAUUGUUCAAGAGUUCUACGGAGAUAUUAGUAAAAACAAGGAUGCUUAUCAUACAGUAAAUAUAGAUCUGGAGAGGGGUGAAACUUUAGGGGUACAGACGGAGACAAGUAACCUAACCUUACCUCUUCAAUUCCUAAUCAAGGGAUACGGUUCAAUACAGCAUUGGCAGGUUCCAGCUCGGGAGUUCCCUGAUACAAACUUUGUACUGAAAACUCUCUGCUCAAUGGGCCCAGGGAGGAUACAGAUAAUAGUAUCCAGUGAACAUAGUGUAAGUUCGUCCUACAGAAUAGUUUUAAGAAAACUUCAGUAUUAUGUUAGUUCGGAGUACAGUUUGGACAAUAUCCAGGUCUCUCCGUCCUCACCUGCAAUAUUCAGAUUCGAAUUUCCUCCGGGAACUCCUGACCAUAAACUGGUGGUUAAACAGGGACCUGGAGCAGUCUGUUCCAUAGUCUCCAUCCGUCCUGAUGAGCUCUGUCCCGACUACGCCCUCCCUGAUACUGAAAGUAUUGUAAGGUUCGGAGAAAAAGUGCAGUUUCAAACAAUGCUGAAGAAAAGCUCUCUUGUCAUCACGAGAAAUCAUUUCUCAGAAAACACGACUGCGAUCAAUAUUAUCAUUCUUGCCAAAAGGAGCGACGAGGGAUGUUAUUCAGUUUCCAGUUUUCAAGAGGACACGGAGAGAAUAGGAAACUUCAGUUUGUUCGUCCUACAACAGCCGGAGAAGCUAAUCUAUAUCUCAACCUUGCCAGUUCUUGGUUUCUAUACUAUUGGAGCUCUACUGGCCAUUAUUUUAGGCCACCUUACCUUCAGGUUCUCUGCAGAAGAGGAUUCAUUGCCCAGCUCUCAACCUACCCGGAGAACUAGACUACAGGAUCAUCCGCUCUUAUAUUCCUGUUGCAGAAGAAACAUUCCUCUGGAUGCUGAGAAUGGGACUGAUGAGCCCGAUAUAACAGAGAUUCAAAAUGAAAACAGUCCUACUAAAACUCAAAUUGACAUGGAGCUCGAACCUGACAUUCUGGAACCAAAAAAAUCACCAAAUAACCGGCCCUGGCUCUGCCCUUGGCAGAAUACUGAGAGUUUGGUUGAGAGCGAGGAUACGGUGGAUUUUCGUGAGACGGAGAACACAACAUGCAACCCUCUCUACAGAUCAGUUAUCCGGUCUCGUGUUAAUUCAAGGGAUGGUUCCACAAAUUUGAACCAGCAUGAAACAGAUCUCAUUAAAAAAGUGUUUCAUCUAAAUGAGGGAAAGCUGAGGGAAAAACGAAAGCUUGAAAAUCUUGCAGUAUCGGAUAUGUGUGUUUUCCUUUACGAUAAAGAAGCUUUUAGAUCUAGGAUUCAUAUGCGCUCCACCUCAUAUCUCUGGUUAACAGUACUCAUGGGUAUAUUCUAUACUCUGCCUGUGGUUCAGUUGGUUCUGUACUACCAGGAUAUAUCACUGCAAACCGGGAACCUGGAUAUCUGUUACUACAACUUUGAGUGUCUCCAUAGGUUCUCUUUCCUAGAGGACUUUGGCCAUGUAUUCAGUAACUUCAGUUAUGUCAUAUCUGGAAUUAUUUUUAUACUCCUGGUUAGGUUUCGCAGCUCCAGGUACAGAGCAGUCUGUACUCAGGACACAUACAAGAUUUCUGAAUUACGUCACCCUGAUAACUGUGGUAUACCGGAGCAGUAUGGAAUAUUCUACUCUAUGGGAGCUGCUCUCAUAAUGGAAGGUGUUCUAAGUGCAUGUUAUCAUGUUUGUCCAACCGCACAGAACUUCCAGUUCGAUACAACCUUCAUGUACGCGAUAUCUGUUCUCGUCUUUCUCAAGGUAUUUCAGUUCAGACAUCCCGACAUUACUCAAACAGCUCAAGGGGUCUUUCUCGUCAUAGGAAUAGCUCUGGUACUUGAAGUUGUUGGAUAUCUUACUUCUCAUGUAGGAUUCUGGAUUAUAUUUCUUGGAAGCCAUGCUACCAUCAUUUCAAUGUUUUUAAUCCAUAUUUAUUACAACGGUUCAUGUCCUACCGUGUCAGAAUUGUUAAGUUUCACUGCACUUAAAGAGUUUAUAGAGAGGAUUAAAACCUGCUCCUUGUGCAAGAUGAAGGAAUGUAUCCCAACCUUAACGGUUAUUGUGUUGAACAUUGGCAUUGCAGGGUUCUAUCUUUAUAAACAAAACCCUGGGGUAUCCAGGUACCUUCUAGUCAUUAUUGCAGCCAACAUGACGCUUUAUGUCAUGUUUUAUCUGGGAAACAAACUGUGGAUAAGGUUUCAUGCAAGCCGUUGGAGACUUAGUGAAGGAUUAACAAUGCUAACGACGAUGUACGGACUUUUCUCCAUUCUCUUCAUGAUGGCUGCAAUGUAUUUCUUCACAGCUGAGCUAAAGAGCAGUGCUGGAACUCCGGCAGAGUCAAGGAACCUAAACGGAGCCUGUACUCUAGGUAUAUUUGAUAAUCAUGAUCUCUGGCACUUUUUCUCAGCAGCAGGACUCUUCUUUCUCUUGAUCUUCCUUCUCACGCUAGAGGAUAACAACUUGAGAGUUCCCAGGAACAGAAUCCCAGUUUUCUAAUAGAUUCAAACCAAUUCUUUUUUAUUUGAAAUGAGCCGCUCAGACCGUAGACAAUUAAUUUGCUUUGAAUUGUUAUGCUCAACCCGUGAUCAUAUUUGAAUUUGAUUCAAGUCGUGGGUUAUUCUUUAUCAAUUCAUAAAGAAUGACCCUCAUACAAAAAGGCUCAAUUUAAAUUUGAAUUGCAAGAAUGAAAAUUACCCCAUCCAGUGUCGUAAUGAUUUUUUUAAUGGCAUAUGUUUUUACUUUUAUGAAAAUGUCAAAAUCAACUCAGCAUUAUUUAUAACAACAAGUUCCUGUUCAAUACAGGGGAAAUAAGUUCCAAAACAGGUUAAUGGUCCAGUUAUUACACUCGGUGUUAAAAAUGGAACUAAUUUCCCCUGCAAUAUUAAAUCAAAAAAAUACCGGUACAAGAUUAUCAUUUUUAUCAAACUUUUAUCUCAGAAAUAGUUCAAACCUGAAUAUAAAAAAAACUUUAUUUUACAGCUGAUCAUGGAUAAGAUAUUUUAACAUAAAUUGUAACGUAAAUCUCAGUGACAAAUGUAACAAUUGUCUUUAAAUAAUUAUUUAUUUUUAUAAAUUGAAAAAUUGUUUUGUCGCAAUGUUAAAGUUUUUAAAUUGAAAUCGAAAAUCUGAUUUGACAUUCCCCAAAAGCAUUUGUUUAAAAGAUUUUUAUCAUACAGUUUUUUUCUUUGAAAAUUGCUCUGUUACUUCGGAAAAAGAAAAAGUGCCAUUUUUUCAUGACGAUUGGAGGAUUUAGUUUUAGAAUUAAUUUCAGACUAGACAUUGUGCCAUAAUAUCCAUAAGUUUUUUGUAGUUUAACAUAAUACUCUUAUAAUGAAAAUACAAUGGCAUCAUUUUUUUACAACGUUCAAAUUAAUGUGAUUAUUGUUUCUUUAAAUUUGCUGUGAUAAUGUUUUCAUCCUUGUUAUUUGUUAUUUUUAGUUUUUUUGUUGUUUCAUUCCAUAAACAUUUGAUUUCAUUGGAAAAACCAGCUUCUUGACUUUAGAGCAAUCUUGCAAGUUAAAAAAAAAUUGAAAAAUUGAAACGUCAACCAGUCAAAUUAAUAUUUAUGAACCAUUUACUAUAUGUUUAUAAACUAGUUGACUUAUAUGUUUAUA